GCUUGUGUGGCUCAGUUGGUAGAGCAGCUCACUCGUAAUGAGCAGGUCGCCGGUUCGAGUCCGGCCACAAGCUCCA
rnacentral:tRNA from 8 species